rnacentral:rRNA from 1 species
ACAGCAGUAGCCACGGUAAUACGUAGGUGGCAAGCGUUGUCCGGAAUUAUUGGGCGUAAAGGGCUCGCAGGCGGUUUCUUAAGUCUGAUGUGAAAGCCCCCGGCUCAACCGGGGAGGGUCAUUGGAAACUGGGAAACUUGAGUGCAGAAGAGGAGAGUGGAAUUCCACGUGUAGCGGUGAGAUGCGUAGAGAUGUGGAGGAACACCAGUGGCGAAGGCGACUCUCUGGUCUGUAACUGACGCUGAGGAGCGAAAGCGUGGGGAGCGAACAGGAUUAGAUACCCCUGUAGUCCCUGUCUCUUAUAC